rnacentral:lncRNA from 1 species
UUAAUUUUUUUUUUUUACUUAAAACACACCACUAAAACAGAGAAGAGGCUAGCGAUGACGUGGAGGGAGGGUAAGGGGCACAAAAACCCAAGAUUUUUGCAAUGAUUCUCUUACACUGGAGUCUCUCCUCUUGGAGCUUUUAUCCAUAGGUUAUUACAUAUGCAAAGGAACAGAGAUUGAAAACUUUUAAAUGGCAAGGUAGAAUACUCCCCACAGAAGUGAAAAGACGAUCCUGGUGAGCUGGGACCAUAAAUCCAUUUCCUGAACUUACAGGAGCGGGAGAAUACCACCUCCACCCUGGAUAAUCCCAGAGGAAACUCACUGGCAAGAUUAGAAUUGAAUUUUGAUGUGGCUUUUGGAAGGUAUCUUUCUUCCGUACAAGGAACCCCAUGCUCCCCGCAGAGGCACCUGCAGCCAGCUGUCACCAGUGGCCAUAGAUGAAGCUGCAUGGAGCGGACAGUGGCAGAGAAGAGGAAGAAAGUAGAUGUGGUAGGGCACAUAAGAAAUAAAACCAUCUUCCUAGGUCUCUGGAUUAGAGAUGAAAACCACGGCAGAGCUGGAUCCCACAAUCCAAAGGCUACAACAGAAAAUGCAAAAAUAACCUGAGUUCAGGAAGGGACCGAGCUAUGUUUCCACGGGCACCACCUGUAGUGUUCCUCGUGACUCCCAGGGGCAAAUCUGCUCACCUCUGAGGGCACAGAGUGACAGUCUCUUUUGUGCCACUUCACAGCCCAGUGCACAAAGCUGCCUGAAGGAUGAGUCCAGAUGUUUGGAUGACAAAUUGCUAACGGGAUGAAUGAAGAGGAUACAGCAAGGUCAAUGGUUUAGAUAGACUCAAGGAUUCAUUUUCUCCUGUUCAGCUGAACAUUCGGAGCUUGGGACCUUUCUUUGUUUCUCCAUAAGAUUUCAGAAAAUUAACAUUUUUCAACAACUCCUGUACCCUGAUAAAUACAUUGUUGAGAUGUGUGCUUAGAAUCUAACCCGGGAAGCCAUUCUGUAAACUAGGACUGUUUGACCUUGUUUCAAGAUGAGGAUUUUGUUAAUAAGGUCCCUGGAAGGCUAGUAACUUUCCCAAAGCCUGAAUAUUAAGUGAUAAGGGUUAUGGGCCCAAGACUUUAACCCAGAUCACUGAUAGAAAGUCCAGUGGAUUUCUCUAUGGGAAAGAACGUGUGUGUGUGUGUGUGUGUGUGUUGCUGCUAUUGAAGAUUAUCCCUGGACCUCCUGUAAGCAAAGCAGCUGUUCUACCAUUCAGAUGGGACUCCUGACCUUGUGAAAGAACCAAAUGCCAUUUUAUAAAAUAAGGUUUGAGAUAAUGAAAGAAAAAAAAAAAAGCUUUGAUUGUUCUAAGUCAUAUUAUCUGUAGGCCUUAGAUUCCUACGUGUGAUAAAAGUAAAAUCCAAAGACAUCAGUUGGGAAAAUAUCCUACAAGUGUGUAGUGUGUUGCCCAGGGACUCAUAAAAUGAGAAACCAGAAGCCGGGCAGUGGUGG